rfam:Schistosoma rodhaini strain Burundi genome assembly, scaffold: SROB_scaffold0001702
AUCCAGCUGACGAGUCUCGAAUAGGACGGAACGCGAGUCAAACUGGAU